AAGUAAUUGAAAGAACACAAGGUCGGAGUCCCCAGGACAAGGAUGAAAUCAUACAAGAUGAAAGUUGAGAUCAGGUCUGACUUCUGCACAAUGACUGAUCAGGAGAUGCCAAGAAAAUGAUGUUAAAUUGAGCUAAAAGAAGUGCAGUUUUCUGGUAAUGUCUACACUUACAGAAGACUGUGAACAAGGGACCCAGUGGCAGUUUUGAAUAUGCAAUUCACCUCAUAGAAGUUCCCUGGAAAUAGAUGAUUGAAGAAAAAAUGAGCCUGAUUUCCAGAUGGUUCUUUAUGAUAAGUUUGAAUCACUUGGAACUGCUUUGUGGCAGCAUGAUAUUCCCAUUUAGGGUUGCUCUGGAGGAAAGGGGAAAAGCCCUCGUCCAAGGAGGUAACUGCAACCGGCGUAUCUCUUCAAAUUCAGUGUGGAGAAAGAGAACACUCCUCCACAUUA